UCCGCAAGAUGAGAUACGCCCCGGUAGUGCUCUCGGUUUGGCGUGUCGUCCCCAAAGAUGAAACGGCUUCGUCUCGUAGGUAGCAGCACCGCAGACCAACGAGCUCCGGCGAACUGGAACGAGGCGAGAACAGAACUUCAACGAUGCAGAAUGCAGAGUUUCAGAGUGAUGUUGCUUGUGAUGUAUUUCAGGUGUUUAUGAUGCAUGGAGGUGUCCUAUUUAUAGGCACAGACCACAUCAAUAGGGGGAGCCUGCAGGUUUAAUUCCAUUGAUGGAAUUCAAAUAGUGUCGGGGGUUACAGCAGUAACAGAUGUAACAGCCCUGCUGUUUGAAUCUGCCAUGACUCCUCCGACAGCAGCAGUUACGUGGGAAGCUUCCUGGGAGACCAAGGGUCCUCCCGGGCCAAGCCCUAGUGGGCUUCGUGUGCGUGCACGUAGGCCCAACCGAGUUGGACGGGGCCGGGACCGGGACCGGCGACGGGGCCGGGCGGGCGGCGGCGGCGGCGCGCGCGUUGUUUUUGUAAGCUCGCACGUGUGAUACGUUUAACACCUGAUGUGAAGCUUUUAUACUGUAAUAAAUGUUAUCUUUAUGCGAUUGGGGUAACUUUAAACUUAUUAAUGGUUUCUUUUUCCAUGACUCCAUGUUUUAAGUGAUUUUGACCAUUAUUCUACUGACUGGAAAUUGAUUUUGUGCAAAUAAAUAUACUACGAUCAUCUACUCGGAACGUAGAUCGAUCCUGUCCCAUUUAAUUCUGCUAAAUUAAAUGUUUUCGGUACUCGAAAAAUUAUCAAAUAUUGGUUACUCACAACCAAUUUCCAACACGUACUAGCAAACAAAGUAAGAUGGAUUUAUUUUUAUUAGUAUUAUUUUAUAUUUUAUUAUUCUUCUGGGAUUAAUUGAUUUAGGUAGUGCACUUGCAUAUAAGUAAUUUUUAUUUAAUAUAAAUAUACCGUUGAGUAAUUUAGUUUUUACGAAUCUAUUGUCAAUGUAUACUAGCUAUUUCUUAAUAAAGUAAUUUAACUUGUUUACUUCAGGAGGAAUAUAAAAUAGACAUCGAAAUUAGUUUUCCACAUGCUUAGUAAAUGCCAAAUAUUUAUGGAUAAAUUACUCUAAUUGAUUCAAUAUUUAUUUUAUCAAUUUUUAAUAUGACUCUUAAUUUUCCAGACUAUUGGACAAGCUGUGAGUGACUGGUACUUCAAUCAAAGUAGAUUUCAUCAAGAGAUUGAUAUGCAAAAUGAGCUGCCAAGAAUUUGCAGCUCCACUUUAAGUGGACCAGAUUUCGACCAAAAAUGCAUGGAAUUUCUCCACGAUGGAUAAUGCAAAUAUCUCCACUUAUAUUUGGAUAGGAGAAUUAAUUGUUACCUUAGCUAGAUAUAGUCGGACUCCUCUGCUCUUUCAAAAUAUCAAGGCAAAUGAAAUUUUUCCAGGCAGUAAAUCAUCCAAUGAAUAUAACCAUGUAUUGUACUGGAAAAUUGAAAAUGUGCUUGACUGUAGAAUUUACAUAGGAGCCAGAGGCAACUAUAAAACUCUAAUCAAGAAAUCGAACUUCUGAGGCUGUGUCCCAAAUAAAAGAAUGUAUAGAUUAAAGUUAAUUUAUGUUUAUUCAAGUUUCAGUUUGUUUCUCAGCAACCACUUGUCCGUGAACCGACUUAUCACCUAGUCUUUUGAAAACUAUACUAACAUAACACUUGUUAUGCAGGAAAACACAACAAACACAAUAGAUUCAGAAAAUAAUGAAGUCUUCUGUUAAAGUAUUAUUCAUAGUAAUAACCAAAUGCAAUCUUAGCAAUUUUAAAAGAAACUACGCAAACACAACUCAGGUAUAACAAUUUUAAAAGAAGCCAAUAAUGAGCAAUACUUAUUCAUCUUUUUCUUCCUUGUAAAACCCAAUCCCUUUCCAAGAGCAAAAGAUCACUUUAUUUUCAGACUUAAAACUCAAAUUUAAUUCAUGUGGCAACUGGCUGAAAUAAACUAAUUUUGAAACACAUUCAGAGAUAGCCAACAAAAAUGAAUACAGUGAAAUAAAUUUGAUUUCUAAAAAAAUUGAUAUGACAAUAAACAACAGAACGCAUAACUGAAAUCAACUUCAUUUUAACAUAGAUCCAAAAGUAUAACCACAUAUUUCAGUCCAAGCAUUCAGAUUUUGGAAGAUCAAUUUUGAAAUAGAAAAGAGACGACUACCUAGCUAGCAUAGCAGCGCCGAUGUUGAGAUCGUCGGGGAGGAGUAGUGAGAGAGAGAUCGGUAUCGUUGGGGACGAGAGAGAGAGAGAGCGAGCGCAUGCUGGUCGUCUCGGCGCUCGGUGGGUUCUGCUUCUACUCGCUGAAGCCGGCUUCCUCUUCGUCGUCUUCAGCGCCGCUUGCUGCUGCUGCGGCUUUCGCGUGGCCUUGCCUUCCUCUAUCUCCAGCGGCGCGGUGGCGAAGGGAUGAAGUGAAUCUCUCGAUUUCCUUACUCAGGAUUAAGUACUUCGAGAAGAUGAGUUUCAAUCACCGAAGCAAAUGAGAAAUUGGUGAUUUUAUUUCAUUCCAAUUGAUCUGGUUAAUUGAUAAGUUAAUUUCUGUGCGCUUUUUUUUAAAAAAAUAUUUAAGAGUUAAUUGGCUGUAAA
rnacentral:lncRNA from 1 species